rnacentral:rRNA from 1 species
AUUGAACGCUGGCGGCAUGCUUUACACAUGCAAGUCGAACGGCAGCGGAGAGUGCUUGCACUCUGCCGGCGAGUGGCGAACGGGUGAGUAAGAUAUUGGAACGUACCGAGUAAUGGGGGAUAACUAUCCGAAAGGAUAGCUAAUACCGCAUACGCUUUGAGAAGGAAAGUGGGGGCUCUUCGGACCUCACGUUAUUCGAGCGGCCAAUAACUGAUUAGCUAGUUGGAGGGGUAAAGGCCCACCAAGGCGACGAUCAGUAGCGGGUCUGAGAGGAUGAUCCGCCACACUGGGACUGAGACACGGCCCAGGCUCCUACGGGAGGCAGCAGUGGGGAAUUUUGGACAAUGGGCGCAAGCCUGAUCCAGCCAUGCCGCGUGUCUGAAGAAGGCCUUCGGGUUGUAAAGGACUUUUGUUAGGGAAGAAAAGGAGUAUGUUAA